UUUUUUUUGGUCUGAGGGAUUAAAUCCAGGGUCUUUAACCAUGGAGUCACAUCCCCAGACAUUUUUAUUUUUUUUAAUUUUGAGAUAGAGUUUCACCAAGUUGCUUGUAGCUUUGGUAAAUCACUGAGGGUGGCUUUGAACCUGGGAUCAUCUUGCCUCAGCCUCCUGGGCAGUUGGGAUUACAGGUGUGCAUCACCUUAUCUUGAAAUUUAUCCAUAUGAUUGAGCAUCUUUAUAUACCUGAUUUUUAAAUAAAUCAGUAAUCAAUAUUAUAGAACUUGAACAAGAAAUGAGCUAUUUCUUCUAUUCUUUUAUAUGUAUCUGCACAUUAAAUCCUGACAACCCUAAUUAGACUUUGAUGUAUUCAAUCUUUGCCUGUCAAUCACCAUUAUUUCUUUAUUUUAUUUAUUCUAUUUUUACAUAUGACAGCAGAAUGCAAUUCAAAUCAUAUUACACAAAUAUAGCACAAUUUUUCAUGUCUCUGGUUGUACAUAGAGUCCCACCAUUAGUGUUUACAUACAUGUAUUUAAGGUAAUGAUGUCUGUCUCAUUCUAUCAUCUUUCCUAUCCUAUGCCCCCUCCCUUCCCCUCCCUCACCUUUGCCCUAUCUAAAGUUCGUCUAUUCCUCCCACACUGCCCCCUCCAUUCCCAUUAUGAAUCAGCAUCUUCAUAUCAGAGAAAAUAUUUUGAAUUUAUUUUUGGGGGAUUGGCUUACUUCACUUACCAUUAUAUUCUCCAACUCCAUCCAUUUACCUGAAAAUUCCAUGAUUUUAUUCUCUUUUAUUGCUGAGUAAUAUUCCAAUGUGUAUAUAUACCACAUUUUCUUUAUCCAUUAAUCUACUGAAGGGCAUCUAGGUUGGUUCCACAAUUUAGCUAUUGUGAAUUGUGCUGCUAUAAACAUUGAUGUAGCUGCAUCACUGUAGUAUGCUGUUUUUAAGUCCUUUGGGUAUAAACCGAGGAGUUCGAUAGCUGAGUCAAAUGGUGGUUCCAUUCCCAAUUUUCUAAGGAAUCUUCAUACUACUUUCCAUAUUGGCUGCACCAAUUUGCAGUCCCACCAGCAAUGUAUGAGUGUGCCUUUUCCCCCACAUCCUCGACAACACUUGUUUGUAUUCUUAAUAGCUGCCAUUCUGACUGGAGUGAGAUGAAAUCUUAGAGUAGUUUUGAUUUGCAUUUCUCUAAUUGCUAGAGAUUUUGAACAUUUUUUCAUGUAUUUGUUGUCAAUCAUCAUUGUUAAUACAAUCAAAUAAUAUUUACAGAUGGAGAGAGUUUGUUCUGGAAGCAGGUUAAAAACACCAACAUACAAUGUAUUGUUAAAUGUUGAUGCAUUUUUGUAGAAAUCAUAUUUGGAAGGAUUAAUAAAAAUUUUAUUAUUAAAUUAUUAUUGUGAGA
rnacentral:lncRNA from 1 species